UACGGAGGGUGCGAGCGUUGUCCGGAAUCAUUGGGCGUAAAGGGCGCGUAGGUGGCCCGGUGAGUCUUUGGUGAAAGCGCGGGGCUCAACCCUGCGUCGGCCAGGGAUACUGCCGCGGCUCGAGCACUGUAGAGGCAGGCGGAAUUCCGGGUGUAGCGGUGGAAUGCGUAGAGAUCCGGAGGAACACCUGUGGUGUAGACAGCUUUCUGGACCAUUGCUGACGCUGAGACACGAAAGCGUGGGUAGCAAACAGG
rnacentral:rRNA from 1 species